UCAUGCUGCGACCCGCUCUGAGGUCUCCCACAAGGAGUGAUCCGACUCCGAGAAUUUAGCCACUGCGAGGUGCUGGCUGCCACCGCAGCCGAACUGGCCGUCCAAGUAGCUGCGGGUCCCGCAAUUCCCCACUGGCGCCUCGGGUGCUUCGGCUGCCGUGAAGCUGGUGGAGUCCGCACGGAACGCUCAGUCCCAUUGGCCUUUCCAGGGGGAUGGCUGCGCUCUCAAUCUCGCAGGCCGGGUUCCCAAGGUUGCUCCGGAGUCCUGCGAGCGCUGAGGUUCACAGUCGUGCGACAGCGGAAUAUGAGAGAGGGAGGAAGAGACUAGAGAGGCAUUGGGAGGAAAAGUGGUCUCAACACUCACUCCGUCCCCCUUCAGGAGUUUGAAGAAGAUCUUAUGCUGAAGCUCCUGGGGUCCUGGAGACUAAAGACUGGAGAAGAGCCGUGCUAAGGUUUGUAGCUGAAUUGGUAGAGUGCCUGUCCCAGCAUUCACAAGGUGGAGGCAAGAAAAUCAGAAAGUCAAGGUCACCCUAGCUUACAUUGUGAAUUCAAAGUUAGCUUGUGAUGAAAUCCUGUCUCAAAGUU